UUCAUUCAAACCAAAAUUCAACAUGAGUGAAUUUCCAGUCAGAUGUUUCCUGCUUCAGUGUUGCAUUGGACUGUGUUUGAUGUUGAAUGUUACACAAACUCCUAGAAACCUUUUUUUAGUCACUGGAGCGACCAUGAACAUCACAUGCAGUCACCAUGACAAAACCUAUGACAAAAUCUUCUGGUACCAGCAGUCUAAUGGGCAAAAUCUCGAGCACCUUGGCUUUCUUUCAUUCAAGCAGGACUUGGUUGACAAAAAGGGUUUCACAAUAACAGGAGAUGCAGAGAAAGAGGCGUACCUGCUGGUGUCGUCUGUGAAAGCUGAGCACAGUGCUGUGUAUUUCUGUGCAGUGAGUGCAGCACAGUGCUACAGGCUUAUAGGAGCCUGUGCUAAAAACCCCUCCCCCGUCACAUGA